AGAUCUAUCUGGAUGGGAGAAACUAUGGUCAAGGAGACAGUUUUCCCACAGCGAGGCUCAUCCCCGGUGCCCCACAGCGAGGCUCAUCCACGGUGCUCCAGAUAUGCUGAUUGCAAUCUCUCCAAAUGUGUCAAAAUCAACUGUGGGAUUUGGGGGAAUGCGUUUGUGUUUUCCCUU
rnacentral:snRNA from 1 species